AGAAGUAGCACAGUUUGGUAGUGCACUUGGCUUGGGACCAAGGGGUCGCAGGUUCGAAUCCUGUCUUCUC
rnacentral:tRNA from 1 species